rnacentral:rRNA from 1 species
AUUGAACGCUGGCGGCAUGCCUUACACAUGCAAGUCGAACGGAUCUAGGGGCUUGCUCCUAGGUUAGUGGCGAACGGGUGAGUAAUGCAUCGGAACGUACCCAGUCGUGGGGGAUAACGUAGCGAAAGUUACGCUAAUACCGCAUACGUCCUGAGGGAGAAAGCAGGGGAUCGCAAGACCUUGCGCGAUUGGAGCGGCCGAUGUCGGAGUAGCUAGUUGGUGGGGUAAAAGCCUACCAAGGCAACGAUCCGUAGCUGGUCUGAGAGGAUGAUCAGCCACACUGGGACUGAGACACGGCCCAGACUCCUACGGGAGGCAGCAGUGGGGAAUUUUGGACAAUGGGCGAAAGCCUGAUCCAGCCAUGCCGCGUGAGUGAAGAAGGCCUUCGGGUUGUAAAGCUCUUUCAGACGGAAAGAAAACUUCGAGGCUAAUACCUUCGGAGGAUGACGGUACCGUAAGAAGAAGCACCGGCUAACUACGUGCCAGCCGCCGCGGUAACAC